GAGAAAAGGCGGACAGCGCCUUGAGGGUACCCAGAGAACGGAGAAGAACAGAGCUGGGUCACGGCGAGAAAAGGCAGACGGCGGAACCGCGGAUGGCGGAACAGAGCAGUGGCGCGACGCGCUUGUGGUGGUGGUGGCAGCUACGAAACUGCAGUGCUAGUUGCCUGCUCCGGUGCGGCGGUGCCGGCUGCGGGCGAAGGAGAAAAGGAUUCGUG
rnacentral:lncRNA from 1 species